rnacentral:rRNA from 1 species
GACGAACGCUGGCGGCGUGCUUAACACAUGCAAGUCGAACGGAAAGGCCCUGCUUUUGUGGGGUGCUCGAGUGGCGAACGGGUGGGUAACGCGUGAGUAACCUGCCCUUGACUUUGGGAUAACUUCAGGAAACUGGGGCUAAUACCGGAUAGGAGCUCCUGCUGCAUGGUGGGGGUUGGAAAGUUUCGGCGGUUGGGGAUGGACUCGCGGCUUAUCAGCUUGUUGGUGGGGUAGUGGCUUACCAAGGCUUUGACGGGUAGCCGGCCUGAGAGGGUGACCGGCCACAUUGGGACUGAGAUACGGCCCAGACUCCUACGGGAGGCAGCAGUGGGGAAUAUUGCACAAUGGGCGGAAGCCUGAUGCAGCAACGCCGCGUGCGGGAUGACGGCCUUCGGGUUGUAAACCGCUUUCGCCUGUGACGAAGCGUGAGUGACGGUAAUGGGUAAAGAAGCACCGGCUAACUACGUG